GGCAGAGCAGGGUUCUGAAAUAUGGGGGAGCUGGAAAAAGUGAACUCUCUGAUUCUAGUAGGACAUCUUCAUUCAAAACUGUACCAUCAUUCUUUCAGCGGCAAUAUCUCCUGCUGCUUUGAGAAUAUCCUGGGUUUAAGUGUACAGCUGGAGGACAAACCAUAACCGCCCAACCAGCUGGAAUGGUAUACCCUGCAUCAGAUAAGUAUUAUA